rnacentral:lncRNA from 1 species
GUCAAAGGAAAUAAAAAGAAUGGAACAAAGGAAACUUUGAAAAAGAACAGUGAUAUGAAAAUAUUGAAUAAAUGUUUUGCAUUUAUAAUUGUAGUUCUAUCUUGUAUAGUGUUGACUAAUUACUUAUAAGGUAGCAGAGAAAACAGUUAAAAAACUAUGCAGAAGCAGAAAAAUGUCUGAGGGUACCUGUGAUCAAACAUGAGAUCAAAAAAUACUUUUAAAAAAAAUGCGCAAAGAUAUUUAAAAUCAGAAAAAAAGAAUACCUUUCUGUAAGUAAAACCAUGACAAACUAUAUAAUAUUACGUGUUCAAUAAAUACAAAAAAUAGGGUUAUGUCAAUGAGAUAUCAAUCUAAAUCUGACAAAAGUAAAUAAAAUAUAUGCUGAUUCAACUGUAAUCAACAAACAAUUGUAAAAUGAGAUGUUGGGUAAAGAUCAGUAUGACAGCAGUUGUUUUUCAGAUGCAGAUCUAGGAUUAUGAGAAAAGUGGCCACAUGCUCUAAACUAGACAAAGUUGAAGUGAAAUAGUUGGAAUUAGAUAAACCAUAAUUAUAGCUCCAUGCGGGGACCCAGGAUCUCCCCAUAUUCAAACACGAUCAACUGUUUUAUAAUAUUUUAUAAAACGUUUGAAUAAUGAUGUUAGAAAACAUUUUUCUAAUGAUAUUCAUAUAACAUUUAAAUGAUGUUUUGAGAAUAUGAAC